rnacentral:misc_RNA from 1 species
UCCGAGUUGUCCCCGGCAGUCCUCUUAGAGUCCCCGGCACUACCCGCUGGCAACAUGGAACGAGGGUUGCGCUCGUUGCGGGACUUAACCCAACAUCUCACGACACGAGCUGACGACAGCCAUGCACCACCUGCACACCAGCCACAAGGGAACGCCUAUCUCUAGACGCGUCUAGUGCAUGUCAAACCCAGGUAAGGCUCUUCGCGUUGCAUCGAAUUAAUCCACAUGCUCCGCCGCUUGUGCGGGCCCCCGUCAAUUCCUUUGAGUUUCAGUCUUGCGACCGUACUCCCCAGGCGGAAUGCUUAAAGCGUUAGCGACGGCACCCGGGGACUUUAUAACCCCAGACACCAAGCAUUCAUCGUUUAAGGCUAGGACUAC